CUACGGGGGGCUGCAGUGGGGAAUAUUGCACAAUGGGCGAAAGCCUGAUGCAGCAACGCCGCGUGCGGGAUGAAGGCCCUAGGGUUGUAAACCGCUUUCAGCAGGGAAGAAAAUGACGGUACCUGUAGAAGAAGGUGCGACCAACUACGUGCCAGCAGCCGCGGUGACACGUAGGCACCAAGCGUUGUCCGGAUUUAUUGGGCGUAAAGAGCUCGUAGGCGGUUCAGUAAGUCGGGUGUGAAAACUCUGGGCUCAACCCAGAGACGCCACCCGAUACUGCUGUGACUAGAGUGCGGUAGGGGAGCGGGGAAUUCCUAGUGUAGCGGUGAAAUGCGCAGAUAUUAGGAGGAACACCAGUGGCGAAGGCGCCGCUCUGGGCCGUAACUGACGCUGAGGAGCGAAAGCGUGGGUAGCAAACAGGAUUAGAUACCCCAGUAGUC
rnacentral:rRNA from 1 species